GUUUCCAGAGGAAGGCUCGUCCGCUCUGGGUUAGUCGGGUCCUAAGCUGAGGCCGACAGGCGUAGGCGAUGGAUAACAGGUUGAUAUUCCUGUACCACCUAUAAUCGUUUUAAUCGAUGGGGGGACGCAGUAGGAUAGGCGAAGCGUGCGAUUGGAUUGCACGUCUAAGCAGUAAGGCUGAGUAUUAGGCAAAUCCGGUACUCGUUAAGGCUGAGCUGUGAUGGGGAGAAGACAUUGUGUCUUCGAGUCGUUGAUUUCACACUGCCGAGAAAAGCCUCUAGAUAGAAAAUAGGUGCCCGUACCGCAAACCGACACAGGUAGUCAAGAUGAGAAUUCUAAGGUGAGCGAGCGAACUCUCGUUAAGGAACUCGGCAAAAUGACCCCGUAACUUCGGGAGAAGGGGUGCUCUUUAGGGUUAACGCCCAGAAGAGCCGCAGUGAAUAGGCCCAAGCGACUGUUUAUCAAAAACACAGGUCUCUGCUAAACCGUAAGGUGAUGUAUAGGGGCUGACGCCUGCCCGGUGCUGGAAGGUUAAGAGGAGUGGUUAGCUUCUGCGAAGCUACGAAUCGAAGCCCCAGUAAACGGCGGCCGUAACUAUAACGGUCCUAAGGUAGCGAAAUUCCUUGUCGGGUAAGUUCCGACCCGCACGAAAGGCGUAACGAUUUGGGCACUGUCUCAACGAGAGACUCGGUGAAAUCAUAGUACCUGUGAAGAUGCAGGUUACCCGCGACAGGACGGAAAGACCCCGUGGAGCUUUACUGUAGCCUGAUAUUGAAAUUCGGCACAGCUUGUACAGGAUAGGUA
rnacentral:rRNA from 1 species